GUUCUUCUCAAGCGAGUCUAGGAUAGUGGAAGCUAGAUGGGAGAUAGGGUAAUAAUUGGCACUUUCGUAAUGAGCCUAGCUCAAUUUUUUAAACAAAUGAAGUAAUAAAUUAGGGUGGAACCGCGUUUUGACG
rnacentral:sRNA from 1 species